rnacentral:rRNA from 1 species
AUACAGCGUAAUUUUUUUAAAGAGUUCUAAUCGAAAAAAAAGAUUGCGACCUCGAUGUUGGAUUAAAAUAAAAUUUUGGUGUAGAAGCUAGAAUAUUUAGGUCUGUUCGACCUUUAAAAUUUUACAUGAUCUGAGUUUAGACCGGCGUGAGCCAGGUUGGUUUCUAUCUCUAUUUAAAUAUAAUUUUUUAGUACGAAAGGACCAAAAAUUAAAUUUAAAAAUUUAUUUUAAGAAUUAUAUUAAAUUUU